rnacentral:sRNA from 1 species
GGCUUGCUGGGGUGCGAUCAUAUGUACGUGUCCGUCGAUAGCUGCAGGGGUCAGGAUCAGAUGUUCUCCUGAAAUUGCGUCCGUAGCAGCUCCCGUAACCAAUUCAGGACUUACCCCUUUCAUGAUGUUUGGGUUUCCGGCUUUACCAAUUCCGGCGAUUUUACCGUCUUUGAUACCUACGUCAGCUUUUAUCACUCCUAAUUUCGGGUCUAUAAUCGUGACAUUGGUAAUCACUAAAUCCAGCGUACCGCCUUCGGCUGUGGUAGUAUUAGCCAACCCCAUACCAUCGCG